rnacentral:rRNA from 1 species
CCUACGGGUGGCAGCAGUGAGGAAUAUUGGUCAAUGGGCGCGAGCCUGAACCAGCCAAGUCGCGUGAGGGAAGACGGUCCUAUGGAUUGUAAACCUCUUUUGUACAGGGGUAAACCGGAAUACGUGUAUUCUUCUGAAAGUACUGUACGAAUAAGGAUCGGCUAACUCCGUGCCAGCAGCCGCGGUAAUACGGAGGAUCCAAGCGUUAUCCGGAUUUUUUGGGUUUAAAGGGUGCGUAGGCGGCUUGAUAAGUUAGGGGUGAAAUUCUCGGGCUUAACCCGGGAACUGCCGUUAAUACUGUUGAGCUAGAGAGUGUAUGCGGUAGGCGGAAUGUGUGGUGUAGCGGUGAAAUGCUUAGAGAUCACGCAGAACACCGAUUGCGAAGGCAGCUUACCAAGCUAUAUCUGACGUUGAGGCACGAAAGCGUGGGGAGCAAACAGGAUUAGAUACCCGAGUAGUC